rnacentral:rRNA from 1 species
AGUCGAGCGGACAGAUGGGAGCUUGCUCCCUGAUGUUAGCGGCGGACGGGUGAGUAACACGUGGGUAACCUGCCUGUAAGACUGGGAUAACUCCGGGAAACCGGGGCUAAUACCGGAUGGUUGUUUGAACCGCAUGGUUCAAACAUAAAAGGUGGCUUCGGCUACCACUUACAGAUGGACCCGCGGCGCAUUAGCUAGUUGGUGAGGUAACGGCUCACCAAGGCGACGAUGCGUAGCCGACCUGAGAGGGUGAUCGGCCAACUGGGACUGAGACACGGCCCAGACUUACGGGAGGCAGCAGUAGGGAAUCUUCCGCAAUGGACGAAAGUCUGACGGAGCAACGCCGCGUGAGUGAUGAAGGUUUUCGGAUCGUAAAGCUCUGUUGUUAGGGAAGAACAAGUACCGUUCGAAUAGGGCGGUACCUUGACGGUACCUAACCAGAAAGCCACGGCUAACUACGUGCCAGCAGCCGCGGUAAUACGUAGGUGGCAAGCGUUGUCCGGAAUUAUUGGGCGUAAAGGGCUCGCAGGCGGUUUCUUAAGUCUGAUGUGAAAGCCCCCGGCUCAACCGGGGAGGGUCAUUGGAAACUGGGGAACUUGAGUGCAGAAGAGGAGAGUGGAAUUCCACGUGUAGCGGUGAAAUGCGUAGAGAUGUGGAGGAACACCAGUGGCGAAGGCGACUCUCUGGUCUGUAACUGACGCUGAGGAGCGAAAGCGUGGGGAGCGAACAGGAUUAGAUACCCUGGUAGUCCACGCCGUAAACGAUGAGUGCUAAGUGUUAGGGGGUUUCCGCCCCUUAGUGCUGCAGCUAACGCAUUAAGCACUCCGCCUGGGGAGUACGGUCGCAAGACUGAAACUCAAAGGAAUUGACGGGGGCCCGCACAAGCGGUGGAGCAUGUGGUUUAAUUCGAAGCAACGCGAAGAACCUUACCAGGUCUUGACAUCCUCUGACAAUCCUAGAGAUAGGACGUCCCCUUCGGGGGCAGAGUGACAGGUGGUGCAUGGUUGUCGUCAGCUCGUCGUGAGAUGUUGGGUUAAGUCCCGCAACGAGCGCAACCCUUGAUCUUAGUUGCCAGCAUUCAGUUGGGCA